UACGUAGGGUGCAAGCGUUAAUCGGAAUUACUGGGCGUAAAGCGUGCGCAGGCGGUUGUGCAAGACAGAUGUGAAAUCCCCGGGCUAACCUGGGAACUGCAUUUGUGACUGCACAGCUGGAGUGCGGCAGAGGGGGAUGGAAUUCCGCGUGUAGCAGUGAAAUGCGUAGAUAUGCGGAGGAACACCGAUGGCGAAGGCAAUCCCCUGGGCCUGCACUGACGCUCAUGCACGAAAGCGUGGGGAGCAAACAGG
rnacentral:rRNA from 1 species